UGGCCAAUGAGAACUUGAUCACUGUAUAUUCUGAGUUUCUGGGAACCAGGAGAUGGAGUGUGCUCUGAAAAAAAGACUGACUG
rnacentral:snoRNA from 1 species